rnacentral:rRNA from 1 species
GACGAACGCUGGCGGCGUGCUUAACACAUGCAAGUCGAACGGUAAGGCCCUUCGGGGUACACGAGUGGCGAACGGGUGAGUAACACGUGGGUGAUCUGCCCUGCACUUCGGGAUAAGCCUGGGAAACUGGGUCUAAUACCGGAUAGGACCCUGGGAUGCAUGUCCUGGGGUGGAAAGCUUUUGCGGUGUGGGAUGGGCCCGCGGCCUAUCAGCUUGUUGGUGGGGUGAUGGCCUACCAAGGCGACGACGGGUAGCCGGCCUGAGAGGGUGACCGGCCACCCGGGGACUGAGAUACGGCCCAGACUCCUACGGGAGGCAGUAGUGGGGAAUAUUGCGCAAUGGGCGCAAGCCUGAUGCAGCGACGCCGCGUGAGGGAUGACGGCCUUCGUGUUGUAAACCUCUUUCAGCACCGACGAAGCGCAAGUGACGGUAGGUGCAGAAGAAGGACCGGCCAACUACGUGCCAGCCGCCGCCGUAA